GCCUCUUUGGGAGAGCCACUCUCUUUUCCUAAAGACCAGCUGGGGUCAAAGCCAUUUGGACAAUCUCUGGAUAAUCGAGAUUUUGAGAGCAGAAUCUUAAAGAGCAUUCAUGAAGAGGGGGAGCUAGGGCCAAGAAGGACUCUCUCAAAGGUACAGAAACCUGGGAGUGUGUGAGAAGUGGGAUCUGAGGUCUCCAGUGGAAGAAAAGGAGGCCCACUAGAAAUCUUAAGUCCAGCCACAUAUAGAAUUGAAAACUGCACCCACACUUCACUGUGAUUCUGUGAUUUUCUCCAAGGCCAUGACACAGUCUUUCCUACUAACCAACAAACAGUGAAAAGUGGCAGGAUGCCAGUUCUGACUACCCCACGACUUGGGACAAAGAAGACUCCAAGCA
ensembl:lncRNA